rnacentral:lncRNA from 1 species
CCCCAAGCUUAACCUUUGCUCGUCCCUGAGCAAAGCAAAAAUCAACAAGAAAACAGGGGUUACUUUUAUGCCUCUUACUACAGGGUUUUUAAUUUAUCACUAAGGUCUUAAGUGAUUGAAAAACAGAACGAUCAAGUCAAGCACUAUGUCUCAAGUUCUUCUGUCCUACCUUUGUUCUGGAGUUUUUUAUAAGUCUGCAAAAUAAAACUGAGGCAUUUGCCUUCUUCUCGAAAGAUAUAUAAGUAGAGCUUUAAAAGUUUUAGCAUACUUACUUUGCAUUUUGCUAUGUCAACGCUCGGAGUAAGGGAGAGGAAUGUCAUACUCCUAGAUCAAGACCUUUGACCUUUUUGAAAAGUUUGUCAUCUCUUACUGGCAUAUUGCUGUAACACCCAAAAAUUUGCAACCUUUGAAAUAGGUGAAAAAUGAUUUAAUUUUGUAUUUUUGUGCUCAUGAGAAUAUAGGGAGAAUAAUAUUUUUUCUUUAAAAUAAAAUUUAUUAUAAGGCUUAGCAACAAUUGUGUGUUAAUCAUGCUGGUGCAUUUUAUUUUUGAGAUGAGUGAUUUUGAACAAGCUACUAACUGAAUUAAAAUGCUUUUAAAAAUGUUUAUAAUUGGUUUUGAAACCAGAAAAGAAAAGAAAAAAAAAAGGAAAACCUCCCUGGAAUAACCAGGCCGCAGCCCAGAAACCCCCCGCGCGCCUCCUCCCCCUCCGGCCUGCUUCCGCGGCCCACCAGGCGCCAGGCCGACCCGCGCGUUUUCCCUCUCUCUCCCUCUGUGUGGAUGACGAGCGGGCCCAUUCUCUUCUCCCACCGCCAGCCGGGCCCCGCAUGUCAGCGCUCCAAUCCUCUUCCUCGAGCGUCUUCGAGCCGGACUCGGUGGAAAUCACCGAAUCAAUCCCGUGAUACCCGGAUCGAUUUCCGUGCGCCGCAAGCCCCUAUAAAGGUCUUAGACGUCGGUCGCGCUCCGUUGCUUCAAACCCGCCGCGAAACCAAGCCCUAGACGCCGCUCUUCGCCG